rnacentral:rRNA from 1 species
GAUGAACGCUGGCGGCGUGCCCAAUACAUGCAAGUCGAGCGAGCAGACGAGGAGCUUGCUCCUCUGACGUUAGCGGCGGACGGGUGAGUAACACGUGGAUAACCUACCUAUAAGACUGGGAUAACUUCGGGAAACCGGAGCUAAUACCGGAUAAUAUAUUGAACCGCAUGGUUCAAUAGUGAAAGACGGUUUUGCUGUCACUUAUAGAUGGAUCCGCGCCGCAUUAGCUAGUUGGUAAGGUAACGGCUUACCAAGGCAACGAUGCGUAGCCGACCUGAGAGGGUGAUCGGCCACACUGGAACUGAGACACGGUCCAGACUCCUACGGGAGGCAGCAGUAGGGAAUCUUCCGCAAUGGGCGAAAGCCUGACGGAGCAACGCCGCGUGAGUGAUGAAGGUCUUCGGAUCGUAAAACUCUGUUAUUAGGGAAGAACAAAUGUGUAAGUAACUAUGCACGUCUUGACGGUACCUAAUCAGAAAGCCACGGCUAACUACGUG